rnacentral:tRNA from 1 species
UGCUGGGGAUGUAGCUCAAUGAUAGAGCACUUGCUUAGAAUGCAUUAGUCCCUGGGUUCCAUCCCCAGCCCUGCAA